rnacentral:rRNA from 1 species
GGUCAUUUAGAGGAAGUAAAAGUCGUAACAAGGUUUCCGUAGGUGAACCUGCGGAAGGAUCAUUACACAUAGCGGGAGUCGGGCCCUGUGGCGAAAGCUGCUGGGCGGGGCUCUCGCCCCGAGCAAUCGGGUCACCCUGCUUUUUGAGCACCAUUCGUUUCCUCGGCGGGCUUGCCCGCCACUGGGGACCCACAAAAACCUUUUGCAAUGAGCAGUAACUGUCAGUAAUGAAAUUAUCACAACUUUCAACAAUGGAUCUCUUGGCUCUGGCAUCGAUGAAGAACGCAGCGAAAUGCGAUAAGUAGUGUGAAUUGCAGAAUUCCGUGAAUCAUCGAAUCUUUGAACGCACAUUGCGCCCCUCGGUAUUCCUUGGGGCAUGCCUGUUCGAGCGUCAUUUACACCCUCAAGCACUGCUUGGUGUUGGGCGUCUGUCCCGCCGCUCCGGCGCGGACUCGCCUCAAAGCGAUUGGCGGCUGGUACCACGGCCUGGAGUGCAGCAGAAUUGCGCUCCUCGUCCGGGGUCUGGCUCCCAGAAGCGAACCUCAAUCGUUUGACCUCGAAUCAGGUAGGGAUACCCGCUGAACUUAAGCAUAUCAAUAAGCGGAGG